GACGAACCGUCCAAACGUUGUUCGGAAUCACUGGGCUUAAAGGGCGCGUAGGCGGCCAGAUAAGUCCGGUGUGAAAGUCAAAGGCUCAACCUUUGAAUGCCGCUGGAAACUGUCUGGCUAGAGUCCGGGAGGGGCGAGUGGAAUUCCUGGUGUAGCGGUGAAAUGCGCAGAUAUCAGGAGGAACACCAAUGGCGAAGGCAGCUCGCUGGAACGGUACUGACGCUGAGGCGCGAAAGCGUGGGGAGCGAACAGG
rnacentral:rRNA from 1 species